GCGGAGGAAAAGAAACUAACAAGGAUUCCCCUAGUAGCGGCGAGCGAAGCGGGAAGAGCUCAAAUUUAUAAUCUGGCACCUUCGGUGUCCGAGUUGUAAUCUCUAGAAGUGUUUUCCGCGUUGGACCGCACACAAGUCUGUUGGAAUACAGCGGCAUAGUGGUGAAACCCCCGUAUAUGGUGCGGACGCCCAGCGCUUUGUGAUACACUUUCAAUGAGUCGAGUUGUUUGGGAAUGCAGCUCAAAUUGGGUGGUAAAUUCCAUCUAAAGCUAAAUAUUGGCGAGAGACCGAUAGCGAACAAGUACCGUGAGGGAAAGAUGAAAAGCACUUUGGAAAGAGAGUUAACAGUACGUGAAAUUGUUGGAAGGGAAACGCUUGAAGUCAGACUUGCUUGCCGGAGCUUGCUUCGGUUUGCAGGCCAGCAUCAGUUUUCCGGGGUGGAUAAUGACGGUUUGAAGGUAGCAGUCUCGGCUGUGUUAUAGCUUUCCGUUGGAUACAUCCUGGGGGACUGAGGAACGCAGCGUGCUUUUUGCGAAAGACUC
rnacentral:rRNA from 1 species